rnacentral:rRNA from 1 species
AACUCUGAGCGGUGGAUCACUCGGCUCGUAUAUCGAUCAAGAGUGCAGCCAACUGUAUUGUAACGAUUUUAAAGGUGGAGGGGAUGUUAACCUGAUGAUCAUCUAUGACAUACAUAUAUGUAUGUAUAUAUGUAUAUGUGUAU